GCAACCUGAGCUCAGGCGUGAUUACCCG
rnacentral:rRNA from 1 species